UGCGAUUCAUGGGGUCGCAGAGUUGGACACGACUGAGCAACUGAACUGAAGCAUACCAAAGUCAAAUGAGAUAUGGAAAAAUAAUGAGGCAAUCCAAAGAGCUAUACAUUCUGACACACAGCUCAAUUUCAAUAUUUAAGAAUGAAAUAUUGUUAAGUAUGAAAAACAGAUUUUGGGCAUACGAAAAUUGAAAUACUUUAGCCACCUGAUGUGAACAGCCAAGUCACUGNNNNNNNCCCUGAUGCUGGGAAAGACUGAAGGCAAAAGGAGAAGAAGGCGGCAGAGGAUGAGAUGUGUAGUUAGCAUCACCAAUUCAAUAAUCACAAACUUUGGCAAACUCCAGGAGACAGUGAGAGACAGGGAAGCCUGGUGUGCUGCAGUCCAUGGGGUCGCAAAGAGGGGUCAGGCACAACUUAGCAACUUAACAACAAAAAAACACUGAAAAGCAGGAUUCACAUACUUAAAGGGCAGGAAUUUCCUAAGUAUAGGAAAAUUAUAAAUAUAUAUAUACAUACAUGAACUUAUACCCAUUUCUUAUUUUUUAUCAUAAAUUGAAUUUUUAUAUUAAAAUAUUUAUCAACACCAUGAAAUCACACAUCAGAUAGCUUUGAGUCCUACCAAAAUUAACUUCAAUCUCUCUAAAUUACUUCCUUUUCCAUGGAAAAGUUAUAUUAAAAAAGUUCAUGUUUGUAAGGUUUCUUUUUCCACUACAAAAACAUUCUCCUUCCAAAACAACAUACAUAAGGUUGAUUCAAUUAAGUAUGUUACCAAAACAGUGCAUAAUUGAUAGUCCCUUCAUCUCCAAAACAUGCUCAUUUAAAAAUCAAGUACAAAAGUAUAAUCUAUUAACACAAGUCCAAUUUCAAAACAAAACUUUUAUUUGUAUAACAAGUUCAUUAGAUUUCCUUUUUUUUCUGAUUACCAAAACACAAUUAACUUAAGGCUUUGAUUUACAAAGAUGAUGACUGCUUUAUAACAGCCUCACGGAAUUCAAUUACUAUGGUUGUUAUAAACACUAUUUCCAUCUACAAACGGAAAUAAGCACUUUACAAUAUUUUGGUAUAAUACGUAUUUAUUCUGGUUUUCAAAGUUGAUCAUUUCAGUUCUUCUGUUCCUGAGUAUAUACCAUGUAACAGCUGUUCCGAUUAUUGUUGUGUAGGUGGUGAGUAUUCACCAGCAACUGAACUUGCCUGUAUUGUUUGAAAUUUUUCAACGUGAAAUACUGGAGGGGGGAAAAAGGCAAAUGUGAAAUGUUCACAGACCAGAGUCAUAGGUACAUUAAUAGCUGAAGAUGAAAUGAAAAGGGCAGGUCUACCAAAAGCCUGACUUAUUUCAACUACUGACAUCAAACUUUGAAAUAGUGCAGAAGCUGCAUUAACCCGACCCCAAAUAAUUUAACAUGGUAUAUAUUUAAUGAAGAGAAACAGAUCUUCUGCAAAGGUCUUUCAUGGCAGAAACUGGGAAAAGGUUUCCAAGUAUGCCUAUGUACUCCCUUUGAAAACAGUUCUCUUGGCUCAAGAGAACUAGCAGAAAAGACGACACAGACGACAAAACACACACUGAGUCUUCCUUUGCAUUGACUGACAAAACGCUUGGCUCUUCACGUGUGUGCUUUCCUAAAGCCCACAUAGGUGGAUACAGCAGGACUAUAACACUGCUGUCCAAGAACUACACUUUGCAAAAUUAAAGUCCCCAGUCCGUAGUUGAAACAUACUUUCUAGUCUUUAAUCACUGAAAUAGUUUUGGUCUAUUCUUACUGAUUUUUCUAUUAGACUUUUUACAUCGCUGACUCCAUUUGACAAUUUAGUAUUUUAAAACAUCUGGAGAAAGAGGAAAAAAAUAGCACCACACCUUUAGAGUAAUUUANNNNNNNNNNNNNNNNNNNNNNNNNNNNNNNNNNNNNNNNNNNNNNNNNNNNNNNNNNNNNNNNNNNNNNNNNNNNNNNNNNNNNNNNNNNNNNNNNNNAUGUCAAACUGAUAAUGGGGCCGCUACGAGUAUAUAUACAGUGGCUUACGAAUUUAAAAGAUUAAGGCUUUUUAACCCUAAGGCAAACGAAAAUAAAAGUGCCAGCCUUAUGAAAUUAAUACACGGUGGGCUGCACUGCACUGCCUAUCAAAAUCAUAAAUGCACAAAAGUAAAAAGCGACGGCUUCACAGUUAAUUUGUGCAAAAUGUAGCACGCUACCAACACCAACCCAGGUAGCGUGUUUCGGAAGGUGGAUCCUGAAUGUGGGAGGCAAGCAUAGAGCUGGCCCCGAGGUGCCUCCAGACACCUCCCCAGCCCUAAACGGCAAGGAGGGAGCAGACCCCCCGGAGUCAGCUUCACGCCUCGUCCGCCUCCCGAGGGUCACUGCGGGCCGCAGCGGGAGGGGCGUGGACGCUGGGGGUCAGGGGUGACAGGGG
ensembl:lncRNA